rnacentral:rRNA from 1 species
CGGGGCGCAGCAGUCGAGAAUAAUUCACAAUGGGGGAAACCCUGAUGGUGCAACGCCGCGUGGAGGAUGAAGGUCUUCGGAUUGUAAACUCCUGUCAUCCGGGAGUAAGACCUGGCGGUCAAUAGCCGACAGGGUUGAUAGUACCGGAAGAGGAAGGGACGGCUAACUUCGUGCCAGCAGCCGCGGUAAUACGAAGGUCCCAAGCGUUGUUCGGAAUCACUGGGCGUAAAGGGUGCGUAGGCGGUUUGGUAAGUCAGAUGUGAAAUCCCGGGGCUCAACCCCGGAACUGCAUCCGAUACUGCCAGACUAGAGGACUGGAGAGGUGACUGGAAUUCUCGGUGUAGCAGUGAAAUGCGUAGAGAUCGAGAGGAACACUCGUGGCGAAGGCGAGUCACUGGACAGUAUCUGACGCUGAGGCACGAAGGCCAGGGUAGCGAAAGGGAUUAGAUACCCGAGU